GUGAAAGGACGAUUUGAGGAGCAUCUCUGAUUAGCAGCAGGUUUAUUAUUCUUUCCUCAUUUCAUGUUAUACCUAGUAAAACAAACCAUACUUGUAUAUACACACAUUCACUCACACUGAAGAUGCAAGAUGAAGAAAGAUACAUGACAUUGAAUGUACAGUCAAAGAAAAGGAGUUCUACCCAAACAGCUCAACUUACAUUUAAAGAUUAUUCAGUGGUGUUGCACUGGUAUAAAAUCUUACUGGGAAUAUCUGGAACCAUUAAUGGUAUUCUGGCUUUGACUUUGAUCUCCCUGAUCCUAUUGGUUUCUCAGGGAGUAUUGCUAAAAUGCCAAAAAGGAAGUCAUUCAAAUACCGCCGAGCAUGAGGAUACUGGAGACCUAAAAAUGAAUAACGGCACAAAAAGAAAUACAAGUAAUAAGGACCUUUGUGUUUUGAGAUCUGCAGACCAGACAGGCUUUUAUACAGAAAAACCUAAGACAAUCAAACUACGUAUGGAUGGGGCUUAACUUUACUUCAUUGAAAAUGACAUGGACUUGGGUGGAUGGUUCUCCACUAGAUCCAAAGAUAUUCUUCAUAAAAGGACCAGCUAAAGAAAACAGCUGUGCUGCCAUUAAGGAAAACAAAAUUUACUCUGAAACCUGCAGCAGUGUUUUCAAAUGGAUUUGUCAGUAUUAAGAGUUUGACAAAGUUCACAGUGAAAUAGUCAGUGAUCACUAUAUUUGGCCUAUUGGUUUCUAAUAUUAAUCUCCAGGUGUAAGAUUUUAAAGUGCAAUUAAAUGCCAAAAUCUCUCUUCUCCCUCCGUCAUUGACACUGGUCUAGCCUCAGAGUAACCCGUUAACAAACUAAAAUGUACCCUUCAAAAUUUUUACCCGAUAGUAUAAACCAAUGUGACUUCAUGUGAUCAUAUCCAGGAUUUUUAUUCAUUGUUUAUUUUAUGCCAAAUGUGAUCAAAUUAUGCCUGCUUUUCUGUAUCUUGCGUUUUAAAUUCUUAAUAAUGUCCUAAGCAAAAUUUCUUAUUUCUAAGGGUUGAAAUACAAUGUGGAUUUAUACAUUUUUUACCCUUUUAUCAAAGAGAAUUAAGUUUAUUUCCAGGCUUUUGAUACUCUGCACUCAGCUACAAUAAACAUCCUGAAUGUUUUCUUAAAUAGGAACACCUUUAUUUCUAUGAUACAAGCCCUAAAAGUAGAAUUUCUAGGUAAAAGUGUUAAAUGUGCUGUUUUAUAUUUUGUACAAUUUUUAUGUUUUGCACUUUUGUUUCCAAAUUUGGAAGCUUUCAAACUUAUAAGAAGAUAUUAGGUGCAGAAAAAGAACAUACUGCUUUUCUUGAACCUCUUGAGAAUUACUUGCCAAAUUGAUGCAUUUUAUUAUAACAUUUCAUUUGUUAUUGGAUACUUUUUGUGUAUUUUCUUCCAAAAAAGGGGCUUUCUCCUACAUAACCACAAUAAAAUUAUGAAAAUCAGCAAACUUACACUAACAUAGAGCUAUCAUCUAAUUCCCAAAUUUCUUUCAAGGUUUGCUAUUUGUCAAAAUAAUGUUUUUAGAGUAAAAGCAUCCAGCUCAGAAUCAAUCUCUACAUCUGAUGACUAUUAUCUCUUUAGCCUCCUUCAAUAUGGAAGAGUGCAUGAGUCUUCCUUGACAUUCAUGACCUUGACACUUUUGAAUACUACACGUUGAUUAUUUCGUAAAAUGUUCUUCAACUGAAAUAUUCUGAUUGUUUCUCAUGGUUAGGUUCAAGUUUUAUCUUCUUGGCAGAAAUGGCAUAGAAGUGAUGUAGUGAGGCUUGGUCUCUGAAUCCUUUCAGGUGGUACACAGUUUUAUUUGUUCCAUUAUUGAUUAUAUUUAUUUCAUUCACAUGAUUGUUGUAAUUUCUGCUUGAAUUCACUGUAAAGUUAUUAUUUUCUCGUUGUAAUUAAUGCAUAUUUUGGGGAAGUGACUGAGAUGGACUUAAUAUCCCCUUCAGCUUGGGGCUAAAUUCUUCUUUUUUUUAAUACUUUCAGUUCUGGGGUACAUGUGCAGAAUGUGCAGGUUUGUUACACGUGCCAUGGUGGUUUGCUGCACCCAUCAACCUGUCAUCUACAUUAGUUAUUUCUCCUAAUGCUAGCCCUCCGGAUAACAAGAACUCAGAAAUAAUGUACAGAGUUAUGAUCUAAUAACAGGUGUAUUCUAGCUUUUUUUCCCCAGAAACUUAACUUCUUUUCUACAUUCAUUAUACAGAAAUACCAGAUUUUAAAGCCUCUUGAGGCUGGAAAGCCAAACCAAGACAAACUUUAGAUUUUAUCUAUAGUAUUAAGGUCUUCGGAAGUUCUAGGAAGUAACAGUUUUUAUUGACUCAUUGUAAGGCUGUGAACCUUCAAAGUUAAGCAUGUUAUGUAUAUUGUUAAAUGUGACAUUUUAGUCAAAGCCUUAGUAAUGUAACCAAUGUUUUUUAAAUUGUAUUCUGCUAUUAAGAGAGAGCAGAAUUUUAUUGGACUUAUGGAAAUAACUUUAAGUAAAUAACCAUAUUGUCAUAAGAAUACUAAAAAGUACAUUCGAAAUUUUGAAAGAAUCAAGGAGGAAAAAUACCAAAUGGUUUUAUCUUUUUUCACAAAAGUAUAUUUUAUCAAAUUACCACAAAUUAUAGAUCGCUCAAGAGAGAAAAUGUCUUUAUACCUGAAAGACAAAACGUUUGAGUAAAGGACCAACAACGUUUUAAAUAAACGUCAUAAAAACAUUAUCAGUUAUUUAAUUUUAUGUAAUCAAUUUUAUUUCUGCUUGAUCUUCAUUAGUAAUUUUAUAAAUCUACUAUUUAUUUUAUUAGAGUUUUGGACAUUUUUAUUUAGUCUAUUAAUCUUAAAUGUAUCAGAAACCUGUAUCUAUGAGUACUUGUUGGGGUCUUUAAUGAAUCUGGUUAUGAAUGUUUUUAGAGAAGAAUUUAAAACUGUAGAAGAAAACAAUUAGAAUAGUCAUGGUUAAAAACCUGAGGAAAGUUUAUAAUUGACAAGAAAAUUAAGUUCCUUGUAUUAUAGAUGGCAUUUAAAAAUAACAGCCAGAAUUAUGACUGCUAGAAUAUUAGGUAUUCAUGAAUUUACAUAAUUUUUGAAAAAUAUUUAUAACAAUAAUAUAUUUAUAAAUGUCACUAAAAGAUGAUCUAGUAUUACUUAUUGUUUGAUAAUGUUUUCUAUAUGAUUUAUCUAAUAAGCAUAAUUAUUUAACAUUUCUACAAGAUGAGAGUUAUCUUUUAAGGCUUUUCAGAGACCCACCUGGAGAAUCCCAAACGUGAUUUUAGGUGAAAAAGAUUUAAUUUAUGAUUCCAUUUUGAGGAAGCUUAUUAAAGAUGUUAAAAGGCUCAAAACACUUGAUCAGAGAGUGGGGCUUCAAGAUGGCUGAGUACAGGUAUCUGGCACCCGCCAGCUCCACAAAGAAGCAAAAUAUCAAACAGAUAAUCACACUUUGAAGAGAGCAUCUAAGAGAGAACACUGUAGUUCAAUAGCAAAUUGAUGGGAAACACCUAAGGUAAUGAAGAAGAGGCAGUCUUCCCGGCCAAGAUUGGCUGGGAAACCAGAGAGACUCUCCAGUGCAGAGAAGGAGUAAGUGAGAGAUCCCCAGUAUCCACGUUCCCAAUAUUAGACUCCUGGAAUCUUUGCCAUGGGAGAAACCAGUGAUGGUUGCCGACCCUGAGACUAAUAUAGAGAGCUCUCUGGAGCUUCAGAUAUUGCUCCAGAGACAGAAUCCAGUCUAGGUCCCGCGUAUUAACAGAGACCUAAGCAGCUGCAGUAUAGCAUAAUUAUGAGAGCUCAACUCCACCAGACUGCAUCUCACCCAUGGGCCUAACAGCCCCUCAAUCUCCACAUCCCUGAAACCCCACUGACACUCCCUCCCUACAUCCAGCUGAAGGGCUGCAGUGGCACAACACUGGGUGCCCUGCAGCACAGCAGGUCCUCAACACUCUAGCACACAGUGUCCUACACACCAAGGAAUUGCUGGCACAGUGCACUGGGGUGGCUGCCCUAAGACAAAGAGAGCCAAAAUGCAUCUCACCAGAGCCUGAUUCUCUCCUGGCUAGGGUUACUGCCAUAACACUCACCCUGUCCUGCUAAGCAACAGGGCUGCUGCACAUUCGCAUUUGCCCUGAAGACUGGAUCUCCCCAUUCCUGCUCUUGUUGCUUCCACUACGAGGGAUCUGAAAUGUACAUUACUCAGCCUCUUGUCUCCAGCUGCUACCACUGACAGCAACCCUGAACCCCCCAGCAAUAGGGCUGAAAUGCACUUAUAUGUGCCCUGAGGGCAAAGUUCCUCCUCCAACCUCUGCCACUGUUGCCAUCAAUCAAGUACUUAGCCAGGGACCUGGGAAUAACCUUGUCCCUACUAACAAUAGCCUGUACCCAUGCACAGCAACAGGAGGCCUGAGGAAUGGGCUGCCUGGCCUGGCAUUGCCCUGCUCAGUGCCUGAGCAUACCAUUCAGGGGCCUGUGAAUCAUUACAACCUGGUCAUCAUUCAUUCUUGGUUCCUGUACACUCCUCUGGCAGCCCGAGGAUGGAACUGCCCAGCCUGCCACUACCACCAUAGCUGGCACCCACUCACAUGUACUUCUUGGGGUCCUGGGGAAUCGCCCACCAGCUUAUUGCAGCCAUUUAUUUUUUAAUUAUUAUUAUUAUUUUUUUGAGACAGAGUUUGGCCCUUGUUGCCCAGGCUGGAGUGCAAUGAUUUGAUCUCGGGUCACUGCAACCUCUGCCUCCUGGG